GGUUGCGAUCAUACCAGCACUAAUGCACCGGAUCCCAUCAGAACUCCGCAGUUAAGCGUGCUUGGGCGAGAGUAGUACCAGGAUGGGUGACCCCCUGGGAAGUCCUCGUGUUGCAACCCC
rnacentral:rRNA from 1 species